AUUGAACGCUGGCGGCAGGCCUAACACAUGCAAGUCGAACGGUAGCACAGAGAGCUUGCUCUCGGGUGACGAGUGGCGGACGGGUGAGUAACGUCUGGGAAACUGCCCGAUGGAUGGGGAUAACUACUGGAAACGGUAGCUAAUACCGCAUAACGUCGCAAGACCAAAGUGGGGGACCUUCGGGCCUCACACCAUCGGAUGUGCCCAGAUGGGAUUAGCUAGUAGGUGGGGUAAUGGCUCACCUAGGCGACGAUCCCUAGCUGGUCUGAGAGGAUGACCAGCCACACUGGAACUGAGACACGGUCCAGACUCCUACGGGAGGCAGCAGAGGGGAAUAUUGCACAAUGGGCGCAAGCCUGAUGCAGCCAUGCCGCGUGUAUGAAGAAGGCCUUCGGGUUGUAAAGUACUUUCAGCGGGGAGGAAGGCGGUGAAGUUAACAGCUUCACCGAUUGACGUUACCCGCAGAAGAAGCACCGGCUAACUCCGUGCCAGCAGCCGCGGUAA
rnacentral:rRNA from 1 species